GAUGAACGCUGGCGGCGUGCCUAAUACAUGCAAGUCGAGCGAACGGACGAGAAGCUUGCUUCUCUGAUGUUAGCGGCGGACGGGUGAGUAACACGUGGAUAACCUACCUAUAAGACUGGGAUAACUUCGGGAAACCGGCGCUAAUACCGGAUAAUAUUUUGAACCGCAUGGUUCAAAAGUGAAAGACGGUCUUGCUGUCACUUAUAGAUGGACCCGCGCUGCAUUAGCUAGUUGGUAAGGUAACGGCUUACCAAGGCAACGAUGCAUAGCCGACCUGAGAGGGUGAUCGGCCAGACUGGAACUGAGACACGGUCCAGACUCCUACGGGAGGCAGCAGUAGGGAAUCUUCCGCGAUGGGCGAAAGCCUGACGGAGCAACGCCGCGUGAGUGAUGAAGGUCUUCGGAUCGUAAAACUCUGUUAUUAGGGAAGAACAUAUGUGUAAGUAACUGUGCACAUCUUGACGGUACCUAAUCAGAAAGCCACGGCUAACUACGUG
rnacentral:rRNA from 1 species